GAGAGAGAGAGAGACCUUUAAAUGUUCCUUAAACCUCUCUCUCUCUCUCUCUCUCUCCAUUAUAUAUAUAUAGAGAGAGAGAGAGAGGUUUAAGGAACAUUUAAAGGUCUCUCUCUCAUU